AGUGAACGCUGGCGGCAGGCCUAACACAUGCAAGUCGAGCGGCAGCGCGGGGGCAACCCUGGCGGCGAGCGGCGGACGGGUGAGGAAUUCGUCGGAAUCUGCCUUUUUGUGGGGGAUAACGUAGGGAAACUUACGCUAAUACCGCAUACGUCCUACGGGAGAAAGUGGGGGACCGCAAGGCCUCACGCAGAAAGAUGAGCCGACGACCGAUUAGCUAGUUGGUGGGGUAAAGGCCCACCAAGGCGACGAUCGGUAGCUGGUCUGAGAGGAUGAUCAGCCACACUGGGACUGAGACACGGCCCAGACUCCUACGGGAGGCAGCAGUGGGGAAUAUUGGACAAUGGGCGCAAGCCUGAUCCAGCCAUGCCGCGUGUGUGAAGAAGGCCUUCGGGUUGUAAAGCACUUUUGUCCGGAAAGAAAUCCCUGGAGCUAAGACCUUCGGGGGAUGACGGUACCGGAAGAAUAAACACCGGCUAACUUCGU
rnacentral:rRNA from 1 species